CUACUAUAUUUGUUGCAUGGAAUGAUUGUAAGGUGUACAUGUCUAGCGGGCAGAUGUCAUCUGACCUUGACCUCAUUUUCAUGGUUCAGUGGUCAAAGUUAAGUUUUUAAGUUUUGAUCUUUUUAUCUAAUAUUAUAUGCCAAAGGUCAACUAUAUUUGGUGUAUGGAAAUAUAUUAUGAUCUAUAUGUCAGUCCCGCAGGUUUUAUUUGACCAUGACCUCAAUUGCACGGUUCAUUGGACAGUGUUAAGUUUUUGUGUUUUGGUCUAUUUUUCUUAAACUAUAAGUAAUAG
rnacentral:lncRNA from 1 species